CUAGUACUCGCUCCAUCCACGAGAGUUGUACAUAUAACUUUUUUCACAGUGACCAAGGAGAACACUAACUCCUCUGAUCCAUUUAUUCAUCUAUAUGGAUUCAUACGCAGUGUCGUUUCGUUUUUCCCGCAUAUCGCGCAUACGCAACCAACAGCCCCGCCCUCGUGCACUGGUGCCGCAUGCAUGCAGUUGCCUUGCCAAUUGCAUGUGCAUGCUCAACUGGUUGGCUGCUCGGGCCGCGUUAUCAAAUUAAUCCAUCCGCAGCCAUACGAUUACUGCUUCGAGGCACAAACAAAAUACGUUCAACUCUUGUGGAUAAACUGAGAAAUGUUAUGCGCACAACUCUUGUGGAUGGAGGGAGUAAUG
rnacentral:pre_miRNA from 1 species